GCCACUGAUUGUCCAAACGCAAUUCUUGUACGAGUCUGCGGCCAACCGAGAAUUGUGGCUGGACAUCUGUGGU
rnacentral:pre_miRNA from 7 species